AUGGGUGGAAAAAAACCGAGAGUAGUACUUACUGAUCAAGAUGCUGCAAUGAAGAAAGCUGUUCCAAAAGUGUUCCCAGAUGCAUUCCAUAGGUUCUGUAUUUGGCAUGUUAGAAGGAAAGCAAGAGAAAAUUUGGGUGCAUACAUGUCAAUUAAGAAAGGAAUGGAACAAGACCUUGACUAUUGUAUCAUGCAGUCCAUGACUGUUGAAGAGUUUGAAAUGAAUUGGAAAGAAAUGGAGCUGAAGCAUAGUUGUGGAAAACAUGCUCACAUUAAGCGCAUGUGGGAGAAUAGAGAGUACUUUGUUCCUGCUUAUUUCCAAGAAGUGUUCUGCCCGUUCAUUAGGUCUACCAGCAGAAGUGAGAGCUUCAAUUCAAAUUUCAAGGACUAUGUUUUGCGAAAGGAUACAAUAGAAACUUUCCUUCGUCAGUAUGAAUUAUUCCAGGAAAAUGUGAUGCACAUAGAGGAUCAAGAUAGGUUCUUGUCUAAUGAAAAAGUACCUAUCAUGUGGGGAUAUCAGCGGGUUGAGCGUCAUGCAGCUGAAAUUUACACCAGAGCUAUAUAUACCAAGUUCUUGACUGAAAUGUUAAAUUCAACUGCUUUCGGGGUUAAUGAGAUUGUGAAGAAUGAAUCAUAUGAAUUAAAGAGGAACUUUCCAUACGAAAAUCCAGAGUUUGACAGGGAAAUCUUUGCUGUGCAAGUAAAUCGAGAAAAGGAAGAAUUUGUGUGCAAUUGUGGGAAGUUUCAGAGGGAUGGUAUUCUUUGUUGCCACAUCCUUAGAUUGUUUACGCAGUUUGACAUGCUCAAGAUACCUGACCAGUAUAUUAUUCCUAGAUGGACUAGAGAAUUUAGGGAGAAGGAAUUGCAGAAACACAAGUCUAGUGCCCUUGGUAUUAAUGGAGAAGACCAGUCACACAAUGCUGUCAGAUAUGCCAUCAUGAUGAAUACAGUGGGGGAGGUAUGCUCUGACAUAAGUCAUGAUUCACGUUUUUGUCAAGAGCUGAUGGAUGCAGUUAAUGCUGUUCAUAGUAAGUAUCUUCUAGGCAAGCAACAAACUGCAGAAGGGGAUAAAACUUAUGAACAAACAGUGAACGAAGCAUGUGUGAGUGAGCCUUUGAACGAUCCUGCUGUAAUAAACAACAAGUCAGUGAGGAAAGGGAACAGAUUGAAGAGCCGAUCCGAGAGAGAAGGGUGGAAAAAGGCUGCUGAUAAACGGAAGAAAUGUAUUUGA
rnacentral:rRNA from 1 species